rnacentral:rRNA from 1 species
AAUGAACGUUGGCGGCAUGGAUUAGGCAUGCAAGUCGAGCGAGAAGAGUUUUGAAGCUUGCUUUAGAACUCGGACAGCGGCGAAAGGGAGAGUAACGCGUAGUUAUGUGCCCUAGGGUCCGGAAUAGCCACGGGAAACUGUGGGUAAUGCCGGAUAACAUCCCCGGAUCAAAGGUGUGAUUCCGCCCUAGGAGCAGACUGCGUCCUACUAGCUAGUUGGUGGGGUAAUGGCCCACCAAGGCAAUGAUGGGUAGCGGGUGUGAGAGCAUGACCCGUCUCACUGGGACUGGGACACUGCCCAGACACCGACGGGUGGCUGCAGUCGAGAAUCUUCGGCAAUGGGCGAAAGCCUGACCGAGCGAUGCCGGGUGCGGGAUGAAGGCCCUCGGGUUGUAAACCGCUGUCGUAGGGGAGGAAGGUUCCGUGAAGAGCGGAAUUUGACCUAUCCUAGGAGGAAGUACGGGCUAAGUUCGUGCCAGCAGCCGCCGUAAAAC